GGUUCGCGCAUGCAUAAUUCACUGCCGUACCAAUAGUAUCUACCGCGAUCUGGGUACGGCUGCCGUACCAAUAUCCAGUUCGUAAUUGUUUACUUUACUCAUUGUUUAAUUUAUCAUUAUGUAGUUCAGCUAGCCUUUGCAGGUUGGACUAAUGAAUUUGAUGUAGUGAAAUAUGAACAUACCAGGCUGACUACAAAGGAACUGAAAUGUAAGGAGCCCUGUACAUCUUACACUUGAGUGGCCAAGACCUGUGUCCUUAGGAUCCAGAGCAUUUAAAGCAGUGACAAGGAUAAUGGGAAUUCAUCUGGGAGAGCACAAGGCAAGUAAUUAAAGGGUUUUCAUUACGUAUGUAAUCAAGUUGUCUGCUUAAAAAACAGGCAGCUUUUCGAUUAAGCUUCAAAGGAUGAUCAUGACUGACUGACUGGAUAUAUAAUGGCAUUGCUGUGUAUCGAACAGCAUUGCAAUGCUGGCUCCAAAGUGGUAAAAAUGUGUUUUUGUAACUACAAAUAAAGAACCACC